AUUGAACGCUGGCGGCAGGCCUAACACAUGCAAGUCGAGCGGAUGAGAGGAGCUUGCUUCUCGAUUUAGCGGCGGACGGGUGAGUAAUGCCUAGGAAUCUGCCUGGUAGUGGGGGACAACGUUUCGAAAGGAACGCUAAUACCGCAUACGUCCUACGGGAGAAAGCAGGGGACCUUUGGGCCUUGCGCUAUCAGAUGAGCCUAGGUCGGAUUAGCUAGUUGGUGGGGUAAUGGCUCACCAAGGCGACGAUCCGUAACUGGUCUGAGAGGAUGAUCAGUCACACUGGAACUGAGACACGGUCCAGACUCCUACGGGAGGCAGCAGUGGGGAAUAUUGGACAAUGGGCGAAAGCCUGAUCCAGCCAUGCCGCGUGUGUGAAGAAGGUCUUCGGAUUGUAAAGCACUUUAAGUUGGGAGGAAGGGUUGUAGAUUAAUACUCUGCAAUUUUGACGUUACCGACAGAAUAAGCACCGGCUAACUCUGUGCCAGCCGCCGCGGUAACAC
rnacentral:rRNA from 1 species